UGGGGAAUAUUGGACAAUGGGCGAAAGCCUGAUCCAGCCAUGCCGCGUGUGUGAAGAAGGUCUUCGGAUUGUAAAGCACUUUAAGUUGGGAGGAAGGGCAGUCAGCGAAUACCUUGCUGUCUUGACGUUACCGACAGAAUAAGCACCGGCUAACUCUGUGCCAGCAGCCGCGGUAAUACGGAGGGUGCAAGCGUUAUCCGGAUUUACUGGGUUUAAAGGGUGCGUAGGUGGGUCUGUAAGUCAGUGGUGAAAUCCCCAAGCUUAACUUGGGAACUGCCGUGGAUACUAUCAAUCUUGAAUAUCGUGGAGGUAAGCGGAAUAUGUCAUGUAGCGGUGAAAUGCUUAGAUAUGACAUAGAACACCAAUUGCGUAGGCAGCUUACUACACGAUCAUUGACGCUGAGGCACGAAAGCGUGGGGAGCAAACAGGAUUAGAUACCC
rnacentral:rRNA from 1 species